GGGCUGUAGCUCAGCGGACAGAGCACCGGAAGUGUAAUCCGGGGUCGCGGGUUCGAAUCCCGCCAGUCUA
rnacentral:tRNA from 2 species